rnacentral:rRNA from 1 species
GACGUAGGGCGCGAGCGUUGUCCGGAUUUAUUGGGCGUAAAGAGCUCGUAGGCGGCUUGUCGCGUCGUCUGUGAAAUCCCACGGCUCAACUGUGGGCUUGCAGUCGAUACGGGCAGGCUGGAGUUCGGUAGGGGAGACUGGAAUUCCUGGUGUAGCGGUGAAAUGCGCAGAUAUCAGGAGGAACACCGGUGGCGAAGGCGGCCGACUGGCCGAGUGCUGACGCUGAGGCGCGACGGCGUGGGGAGCAAACCGG